CACGAAGUUAGCCGGGGCUUAUUCUUCCGGUACCGUCAUUAUCGUCCCGGACAAAAGAGCUUUACAACCCUAGGGCCUUCAUCACUCACGCGGCAUGGCUGGAUCAGGCUUGCGCCCAUUGUCCAAUAUUCCCCACUGCUGCCUCCCGUAGGAGUCUGGGCCGUGUCUCAGUCCCAGUGUGGCUGAUCAUCCUCUCAGACCAGCUACUGAUCGUCGCCUUGGUAGGCCAUUACCCCACCAACUAGCUAAUCAGACGCGGGCCGAUCCUUCGGCGAUAAAUCUUUCUCCUCUCGGACGUAUCCGGUAUUAGCUCAAGUUUCCCUGAGUUAUUCCGAACCGAAGGGCACGUUCCCACGCGUUACUCACCCGUCUGCCACUGUCCCCGAAGGAACCGUUCGACUUGCAUGUGUUAGGCCUGCCGCCAGCGUUCGCUCUGAGCCAGGAUCAAACUC
rnacentral:rRNA from 1 species